CUAAAGAGAGCGCGUCAGGUGUGAGGUUUCUGUCUGUUCCACGCGCGCUGCUCAGGAUCGCUGUAGCAGCGGAUGGAACGCGACGUCGGAGCAAGCAUCCCUCUGUUUCCUUUCUCUAAGCAGUACAUAGUGUGUUACAAGCCUGUUUCUUUCAUUCUCAAAAUUACUGUAAUUCCGCAGUCUGUUUAAAAAGAAGAGCGGGGGAGGUGCAGUCUCUACAGCACAAGUGUACGACACGAGACCAAACGACUAAAAUGAGCACAUCCAGAUCAACCGGGAAAUCCAGCUGCCAGGACUCCAUUGGAGAGACCAAGGAGAAGCUUCCGGGAGGCGUGGGGAAGACGGAGGACCUGGAGGAGGAAGCUGAUAUCGAUCUGGACGCCCCUGAGACCACGAAGGCUGCGCUGGCCAUACAGAACCAGUUCAGACGCUUCCAGAAGAAGAAGUAGAAACAGAGAAUGACAUGAAAAGUGUUCAGUAGUACAGAGAUACUUAAGCACUGUACUAAGAGAGAGACAUUACAACUGCACUGACUGAGAGAGAGAGAGAGAGAGAGAGAGAGAGAGAGAGAGAGAGAGACAUUGUACUGAGAAAGAGGGGGAGAGAGGGGGUGAAGGAAAGCUGGAAUUAAUUGAUUUAAAACAGACUGGAAUUGAGAGAGAGUGAUAGCCCCAUUACUAUGACAACAUAGUCAUUACCUCUACUCCUCUGCACCCAAAAAAUCUCUCUCCUCCCUCUCCCGUUCUUCCACUACCUGCAUUUCUCUAUUCUCAACACACCUACACACACACACACACACACACACACACACACACACACACAUGCACACACUCUUUCUCUCUCUCUCUGCAUGGGGUCAUGGGCCUGGGUUGUGAUUCUGAUUGUAGUUCUGGCCCAUGAGGGGCUGGGCACUGUGCUGUCAAUUAGAACAGAGAGGCAGAGUUACACAGCCAGGAAAUGACCACCACCUCACCCCAGCCCAGAACAGGAAAUGGCUAGUUUCUGUUACUCUGUGACAGUCUUCUGUGAUAAGCGCUAUGAAAAUAAAUGGCUCCAUCUAAUCAGAGGCCUUCCAUACCACCUAACCCUAACCCAUACCAUUGAGCCUGCUUGCAGAGUACACUGGAUUAAACAUUAACAAGUAGUGCAGUUAAGAUCCCUACAUGAUAUACUUAUUUCUCUAAUAAACCCAUCACUCCUCUGUUACACACACACAUGCACACACACACAUGCACACACACAUGCACACACACACAUGCACACACGCACACACACACACAUGCACACACACGCGCACACACACAUGCACACACGCACACACACACACAUGCACACAUACACACACGCGCGCGCACACACACACACACAGACCGCUUACAGCUGUUCACUCAUUUCACAUGCUCAGUCAUUUGUGCCUGACACUAGACCUGUAUAAUCAGAUGAGUUCGUUUGUCUGAUGCCUGUGUCUGGGCACUUUGUGUAAUGAUAUCUCUUAUGAUUACUGUGUAUUAAAAGAUGUAUUAAUUUAUGUGUGUCACUUAUAAGCUCCAGAGAAUGACAAACAUAACUGAUCACCGUUGUUUUACUACACAAAUAAAAUAUCUGUGCCAUGUC